AUUGAACGCUGGCGGCAGGCCUAACACAUGCAAGUCGAGCGGUAGCACGGAGAGCUUGCUCUCGGGUGACGAGCGGCGGACGGGUGAGUAAUGUCUGGGAAACUGCCUGAUGGAGGGGGAUAACUACUGGAAACGGUAGCUAAUACCGCAUAACGUCGCAAGACCAAAGUGGGGGACCUUCGGGCCUCAUGCCAUCAGAUGUGCCCAGAUGGGAUUAGCUAGUAGGUGGGGUAACGGCUCACCUAGGCGACGAUCCCUAGCUGGUCUGAGAGGAUGACCAGCCACACUGGAACUGAGACACGGGCCAGACUCCUACGGGAGGCAGCAGUGGGGAAUAUUGCACAAUGGGCGCAAGCCUGAUGCAGCCAUGCCGCGUGUGUGAAGAAGGCCUUCGGGUUGUAAAGCACUUUCAGCGGGGAGGAAGGCGGUGAGGUUAAUAACCUCAUCGAUUGACGUUACCCGCAGAAGAAGCACCGGCUAACUCCGUGCCAGCCGCCGCCGUAACAC
rnacentral:rRNA from 1 species